rnacentral:lncRNA from 1 species
CCCGCGUGGGCGCUGCAGGCGCAGGCCAGCGGCCAAGGGAGAGGCGAUCCCUGGGGCUCUGCCCGGGUCUCGGGACGGCACCUCACCCGCCCAAGUCCUGCUCCACAGGCUUCUCCGGGAAAGCUAGGGAAGGAAGAGGCGCGGCCUCCCGAGCCCGCAUCUCAGAGCGCCACGUCCCUCCUGGCUCAGCCUCCCCGCAGGCUCCAUAGCUUCGGCGCUCCCCCACCGCCCGCCUCCAGGCUCCACGGAGCGGCCGUGUCCCUGCUCCCGCCAAUCGGCGUCGUCAGCAAUCCCGAACCGGACCAAUCAGCGGCCGCAGGGUGUGGAAACUGUCGCCAUGGCAGCCAAGAGGCGGGCACGCGCGGCGGGAGGAGGGGCAGAGCGGAGCGGUGGGCUGGGGGCUGGAGAACAGGUUUGUGCGCUGGACGCAAGCCCCAGGCGCAGCCUCGCUCACCGAGAUCCGGCCAGAGUGCUGGGAUUACCAGACGUGAGCCACCGUGCCUGGCCGACCCAUCUUCUAAGAGUCGAAUCUGUCUGUGUUGUGUUUACCUUUCUUUGCUAUCCCAAGAACGUGUUACGAGCCAGUUUUUAGUGAAAAAACAUUGGGCUAGGAGCCAAGACCCAUCUCUUCACUAUUUUGGUAUUGUGCAAGUCAUCUUAUCUCUCUUGACCUCAGUUGUCUCAUCUGUAAAAAGGAGAUAAAAAUUAUUUACCUACCUGAAC